rnacentral:tRNA from 1 species
GCUUAUAGCUCAGUUGGUAGAGCGAUGCGUUCGCAACGCAUAGGUCAGGGGUUCGAUUCCCCUUAGGUCC